GCUCGCACCUCCUCGCCUCCCGGGGUGGCCGGGCCCCGGCCCCGGGCGUCUCUUCAGGGAACCUCGCCGAGACAAGGGUGCCGCUUCCAUCCGCUCGAGUUCGGAGAGGGCCUGGCGACGGGAGAGGCCGCCGCCGCAGCCCGGGAGGGGGCUGCCAGGUGUUUCGACUUACCUACCAGCAACUACGGAAAAGUAAUGAAUUUAACUACAAAUAGCAAUGUGUUCUGUCAAUGAACCUGUAUUGCCCCGAGGAAAUCACAACAUCCCAGUUGUAUGCUGCUGUGCUUGAGGGUUUUGAAGCCCAGAUUGCCGGACUGGUGGAAAUGGUUCUGGUGGAAGUAUACAGGUGCAAGCUCUGCUAGUUCACAAGCAGCAGCAAAAGUAAGAUCAGGACACACCUGGCUCACAUGCAUGAAAGAGAUACAGCGUGCCAAAUUUCAGGCUGUCCUAAAAUGGACCAAGAUGAAAAUGAGUCGUAUAGUAUGGGAGAUGAAGCUAACCAAGAAAAUGAAGAAAAUUUUGCAAAAAAUGUCUGUCUUAUUACCUGUGUAUCGGAUGCUUCAAAAUAGGAGUCUUCACUGUUGUGACGUGAGCCCAAGCAGUCAGAGCAGUAAUCCUUAUGCCUCUCACUCCUGUGAAGUGAACACAUUGUUUGGAGAAGCAGCUCAUUUGCAGCUUGAGGAGCCCUCUUCUGCAGUGCCAACUUCUCUUUCAUAUUCCAAGAGCAAAGACGAAAAAGAAGCCCAGUCUAUGCAUCUUGGCCUCUGUUGUGUUUCCAGUGUUAGAACUUGGACCUUAGCUGGGGAGAUAAAAACCCCUAAAGCUGAAUCAAGGUGUAAAAAUUAUAAAAAUCAGAAGAAAGCUAGAUGUGAUAGUAAGGGGUUAGCUCAUCGUGUGAAAGAUGCUUGCGCCUUAAAGCUGGCUUCUGAGAGAACACAGCAUUUCUGCAAUGCGUGCAACAUAGCACUGAAGUUGAAAGAUGCUCAUAAAAUCCAUGAAAAGGGUCGUGAUGUGGAUCGUGGCCUUAAAUGUGUUUAUUGUUGCGUGACUGAGUGGGAUUUAAUGGAAAAUCAUUUAAAAUCACACAAGCGGAUAAGAGAAGCCUACCAGUGCCUCGUCUGUGAAAGUGUUUUAUUGUCACAAAGUGCCUGGAAAGUGCACAGAAACAGCCAUCAGAGGAAAUGUCAUCUCUUUCAGUGCACAAUAUAUUUAUCAUCUUUUGAAACUGAGCAGAUAAGAAAUCUUCAUGUAGCUUGCCAUUAUCAGGAUAUGUUUAAAUGUCCGCACAGUGAUUUUGCUAGUCCUGUGACAUUUAGACCCUUUAGGGUCACUGGCUUCAGCUCUAUCAUGACAUCCUAACAUGCUGUGUUGGUGGUGAUGUGUUGACCACUGAAUCACACUGGAGAAGCUGGUGUACACUGAAUGGAGGGUCAGUGCUGUGGCAAUUUUAUAAUGAAAGUGUGCAUCCAAGAAUGAUAAGCUGUACUUCAAGGGUGUGUGUGAAUGGCAGUUAAACAUUGCUUUUACUUAUUUCUUAAUUGGGAAUCCAGAGAAGAGUUGAAAGAGCAUAUGAAAAUCACAAAACUUCUACAGCUGUUCUGUCUUCAUUUUGGGAUUCAAAACCAGACGUCAGAUGAAUGGACAUCACAAACAAAUCCAUCAGAAAAAAAAAAAAACAAACAAAUGAAAGGACAAGCAGAAAGAAGGCUGAAGAUAAUCCUGUGUGCUCCAACACAGAAGCAGCUAGAAAGAAGGAUUCAAGUUAAUUUACAUGCAAUACCUACAGUAGGCGAGAAGCCUUUGAAAUGUGAGAUCUGCUCUUAUGCCUCCAUUGAUGCAAGCUCGCUGCAGUGGCACUUCGAACCUGCGCUUGUGAGAGGUCCUACAAAUGUUGACUCUGUUCAUAUAGUUGUGGUAACGGCAAAUGCCUGCAUAGUGUUCCAGACCUAAAUAGUUUGGAUGUUGUGAAACUUGUGAAACAGUUUGCCUGAAUUGGGUAAAUACAGUUAAGCAUUCAGAAGAAGAGCUUGGAACUUCACAUAUGCCGACAUCACGCUGGUGAGGCAUUCGGCUGUAGUUUUUGCUGCUAUUCUUCCUCUGACAAGCAACUUCUCUGAAAACACAUUAGGAAAUAUCACCUGGGUUCAGGAACUUCAUUAAUCAGUUCCCAGGCCACCUUUACCCUCAAAUCACUUCCUGUGGAACAUUAGGUUCUUCGUGCUUAAACUUCCACCAAAGCAUCCUGGCAAAUAAAGAAGCUGUUGGCAUUGUCAGACUUUUGUGCUGAGAGCCAGCGGUUAUCUGGAAGAAGAGAAGAAACGGUCCUUAUGUGGCAAUUAGAAGCACUUAGGAUGGUCUUCCCAAAAAGCUUUGUGUGUGCUAUUGUACAGGUGGUAACUCCAAUGUGCUGAGAGGACCGUGGAGGUUUGUGUUGCACAAAGGGUGGACAUGUUGAUUUUUGUUCUGGUUACCUCUUGCUGAUAUGUUCCGCUUACUUACAAAUGAAGAGUUUGACAUUUCAAGGCAGAAUCUGUUGAAAUGUACCAAAGCUGACAGUGAACCCUGCAGGUGGUUUCUGUACUACAUCUCUCAUUUUUAAUACAGGUCUCUAUAUAAAACAGUAAAUGAUUCAAGAAAAUUACUGAUGCCGUAGCACUCAUAAUGUGGUAAAAAAAAUUCAUUAAAUUUCUUCAUGGUUAUUUUUUAUAACAAAAUGUGUCUAUUAUUAUAAGCUAAUCCAAUGUUGAAAUAAAAAUAUAAACUACUGAAACAUGACAUGAAAUAAA